rnacentral:rRNA from 1 species
AUUGAACGCUGGCGGCAUGCCUAACACAUGCAAGUCGAGCGUGCGGAGGGCGGGUGAGGAAGGUCUGGGAACCUGUCGGUUAGCUGGGGAUAACUACGGGAUACGGUAGCUAAUACCGCACACCAGCAGAUGUGCGCAGAUGGGGUUAGCUGGUGGGUGGGGUAACGGCUCACCUAGGCGACGAUCCCUAGCCGGCCUGAGAGGGUGACCAGCCACACUGGAACUGAGACACGGCCCAGACUCCUACGGGAGGCAGCAGUGGGGAAGCUUCGACAAUGGACGCAAGUCUGAGCCAGCAACGCCGCGUGUGUGAAGAAGGUUUUCGGAUCGUAAAGCACUGUUGUUGGAGAAGCGGUAUCUACACAAGAAGCACCGGCUAACUCCGUGCCAGCCGCCGCGGUAAUAC